AUGUUUAUGGUAGAGUAUAUGCGUAGAAAGUUUGAAAGCGGUGGCAAUCUCUUAAUAAGGUAGGUGAUGCUUAUGAGCAUUGAAUUAAAUCUACUAGAAAGGAGGUUGCGAUUUGUCAAGCUAUGAAGUAAUGACAUUGAUAGGAACCUUUGCCAUGGUACUAUUGGCAUUGU
rnacentral:sRNA from 1 species